CUAUGGGUCUCUUUGGGGUUUCUGUGGGUCUCUAUGAGGCACGCUGUGGGUCUCUAUGGGUCGCUGUGGGGCACGCUGUGGGGCACGCUGUGGAUCUCUGUGGGUCUCUUUGGGGUCUCUGUGGGUCUCUGUGGGUUGCUAUGGGUCGCUAUGGGGCACUGUGUGGGUCUCUAUGGGUCUCCAUGGGUUUCUUUGGGCGCUGUGGGGCACGCUAUGGGGCAUGCUACGGGUCGCUGUGGGGCACGCUAUGGGUCUCUUUGGGGGUCUCUGUGGGUCUCUGUGGGUCUCUAUGGGGCACGCUAUGGGGCACUGUCGGUCUCUGUGGGUCCCUAUGGGUCGCUGUGGGGCACGCUGUGGGGCACUCAGGGGCACUCAGGGGCCUGCUGUGGGUCGCUGUGGGUCGCUAUGGGGCACACUGUGGGUCUCUAUGGGUCUAUGGGGUUUCUGUGGGUCUCUAUGGGUUGCUAUGGGGCACGCUAUGGGUCUCUAUGGGUCGCUAUGGGGCCCGCUGUGGGGCACGCUAUGGGUCUUUAUGGGUCUCUGUGGGGCACACUGUGGGUGUCUAUGGGGCACGCUAUGGGUCUCUGAGUCUCUGUGGGUCUCUAUGGGGUUUCUAUGGGUCUCUAUGGGGCACGCUGGGGGUCUCUAUGGGGCACGCUGUGGGUCUCUCUGGGUCUCUGUGGUUUCUAUGGGUCUCUAUGGGUCGCUAUGGGGCACGCUAUGGGGCACGCUGUGGGGCACGCUAUGGGUCUCUGUGGGUCUCUGGGGUUUCUGUGGGUCGCUAUGGGUCUCUAUGGGGCACGCUGUGGGUCCCUAUGGGUCUCUAUGGGGCGCUGUGGGGC
rnacentral:lncRNA from 1 species